rnacentral:tRNA from 1 species
GGGCCCGUAGUCUAGUCAGGAUAAAGAUGCUGGCCUUCGGAGCCGGAGAUCGUGGGUUCGAAUCCCACCGGGCCCGCCA